UACGUAGGGUGCGAGCGUUGUCCGGAAUUAUUGGGCGUAAAGGGCUCGUAGGCGGUUUGUCGCGUCGGGAGUGAAAACACCGGGCUUAACUCGGUGCUUGCUUUCGAUACGGGCAGACUAGAGGUAUGCAGGGGAGAACGGAAUUCCUGGUGUAGCGAUGAAAUGCGCAGAUAUCAGGAGGAACACCGGUGGCGAAGGCGGUUCUCUGGGCAUUACCUGACGCUGAGGAGCGAAAGUGUGGGGAGCGAACAGG
rnacentral:rRNA from 1 species